ensembl:lncRNA
CUACUUGACACACUGGUGACCCACUGGCUUAGCAACAGUUUCGAAGUGUUGUAAGGAGGAAUCAUUAUAAGUAUCUACUUAAGCUGAAGACAUUAAUUUACUGAAUGUUGCAAAAAGGCAACCCGACACAAGCCACCACCAUUUCAAAAAGUCCCACACAGAGACUAACAGAAGAGAACAUAUCACUCACCAUGUCCCACAUGGUUGCCAUUCCAUAAGGACCUGGAAAAAAACAGACCACUUGUUUCAGAACACAACAGGGGAAGAUUCCUCGCUUCCCCUUAUCAUCACACUCCUCACAGCUCAUAGUCUCCAUGUCCUGCCUGGGGGGCCUGGGGCACCUUCUCUUCCUGCCCGGAGGAGGUGAGGGGGCCUGGGGCACCUUCUCUUCCUGCCCGGAGGAGUUGGAGGGGGCCUGGGGCGUCUCCUCUUCCUGCCCGGAGGAGGUGGAGGGGGCCUGG